rnacentral:rRNA from 1 species
UACAGGGGGUGCAAACGUUGCUCGGAAUCAUUGGGCGUAAAGCGCACGUAGGCGGUUCGUUAUGUCGGAUGUGAAAGCCCUUGGCUUAACCGAGGAAGUGCAUCCGAAACUGGCGAGCUAGAGUACUAAAGAGGAUCGCGGAAUUCCCGGUGUAGAGGUGAAAUUCGUAGAUAUCGGGAGGAACACCGGUGGCGAAGGCGGCGAUCUGGGUAGAUACUGACGCUGAGGUGCGAAAGCGUGGGUAGCGAACAGG